rnacentral:misc_RNA from 1 species
GAUGAAGAACGUAGCGAAAUGCGAUAAGUAAUGUGAAUUGCAGAAUUCAGUGAAUCAUCGAAUCUUUGAACGCACAUUGCGCCCGCCAGUAUUUUGGCGGGCAUGCCUGUUCGAGCGUCAUUACAACCCUCAGGCCCCCGGGCCUGGCGUUGGGGAUCGGCGGAAGCCCCCUGCGGGCACAACGCCGUCCCCCAAAUACAGUGGCGGUCCCGCCGCAGCUUCCAUUGCGUAGUAGCUAACACCUCGCAACUGGAGAGCGGCGCGGCCACGCCGUAAAACACCCAACUUCUGAAUGUUGACCUCGAAUCAGGUAGGAAUACCCGCUGAACUUAAGCAUAUCAAUAAGCGGAGGA